CUCGGAUCCCUAGCCUGCCUCAAGAACAAGAUACAAGAAAUUCUAGACAUUAUUGACUUGCCAUUCCUCAAUGAACUAUUGACUAUUCUAGCAGGGCAAGUCACGGUCAUCAUGACGGCGGUCCACACAAGUAGGCAGAGCAUUGGAUGCUACUUUUCUCCAACAUAUUCAUUAACACCAGCACACAACGCAAACCUUUACAAGAACACCGCAAGAGCAUGGACCGCCAUUACGCAAGGCAGAAACUGUCAACCAUUCGCAACCCCGUUCGCUACAACCCUCUUCUCUGACGCAACUGGCUUAGCACCCUUCGGGGCAUCUCCAGAUGUAAUUGAUCCAUUUUCUGCAACUUUCGGGUCCUCACU
rnacentral:lncRNA from 1 species